AAUCUCGGCUACACGUUUACUUUCGCUUGCAACUAACUUGUGACUCGUCAUGAUUCGCAGAAGGUCAUAGGCGCGUAGCUGAAGGAAAUAAGAUCCAGUAUCAGCGUACGAUGACAUAGAUGGACUUCACAAACAGUUUGCGGCUCAGAAAUUUUCAGAGCCCAUGCAGUAGUGGAAGCUAUCGCAUGGGCCACUAGCCCAUAAUCUUCUACUUGUCAUUCAGACCACAACCAAAAAGACAGGCUACUUCAUCUGUAACUUCUUCAACAAUAUUGCUCGCUCUGGUGGCUUUGAAACCAAAGAAGUAGUUGCAUGCGGUAGUGAUUCUAGCGAUGUCGGUGUCAACGUAACGUGCCCAACCCCGGUGAAAUAUGUGCCACCAUGUGAGUUUGAUAGUGCCGGUGGACUCUCUCACUCGCCGGCAUUGAUCGCCUUGUUGGCCAUUGCUGUCACCGCCUGGCCCUUGAUCAAGAGUGAGUAAAUGUACUGUGUUGCUGCCCAACAUACACAAUCAUACACAGCUGCAAUAUGCCUGGGACUCAGGAAGCCGUACUGCGCUAACAGUUCCUGCUUCCUACUUGACCAGAUAACUUAUGAACAAAAUUCUCAGGGAAUUUACUGUUGAAGAAAUCAAUUAGGUGAGGUAUGCAAUAGUAUGUUGACAACCUUACCUUGUCUGAUGAGGCUGGCUAGGCUUUGAUCGAAACCAAUCCCAUAGUUUUGGGGCUUCUGUAAUAGCCUUUUUUGUGGCACUUGCCAAGUCUCCCGAGUUUUUAUUCAUAUGUAGUUUUAUAGACGUGACACAACCAGCACCCACUCCGUGCUGAUUGGUCAGGCGAAUUCGAAGCGUUUCAUUUUUUCCCCUGGCAGUGCCAGUUUAACCCUUGAUCCUAACCUUAAUGAUUAAAUGUACUUAUAGCGUUGUGAAUUUCGAAUAGUUUUGGCUCAUUGAUUGACUUGCUCAACUCGAGGAAUGGCAUGGCUUACAUCUUGCAAUUUGGAAGUUGUGAGAACUGGCUCUGAAGUUCAUUGUAUGUCCAGCAGGCAGUUGAGUAGCUAGUGAGACAACACAAGACCAUCGUACCCGUCUACCUAGAUGCCACUGCAGUACUGACCAGCCAGUCACACUGAGUAAACUACAUACAUGUACAUGCAGGCUGCGGGCUGGUCAGCAGUAACUCUCUAGCUCUGCCUCUGGUAUCAUACGUAUGCAUGAUUUGGCAGUAGUAGUCACUGUCAUAACAAGCCCGGAUUACAUUUGAAUCCGUUGAGUUCUUUGUCCAUUGUUGAUCUCACAUUUUGCUGAUUGUAAUAAGUAAAAUACCUGUUAGUAGUUGUUACUAACUUACUACUGCCUGGUACUAGCUUACUCCCAGCAACAGGCCUGAUGGCCACCGAGCAGAACACAAUAUCCGCUUUAGAACCCAAGGCUAGGCGGCAUUCAUCACCAGA